GAUGAACGCUGGCGGCGUGCAUAACACAUUCAAGUCGAACGGACGAAGCGGGAGCUUGCUCCUGCCAAGUUAGUGGCGGACGGGUGAGUAACGCGUGAGCAACCUGCCUUGUUAAGCGGGAUAACACAGGGAAACCGGUGCUAAUACCGCAUAAUGUAUUCAUAACGCAUGUUGAGAAUACCAAAGGAGCAAUCCGAAACAAGAUGGGCUCAUGUCUGAUUAGCUAGUUGGUGAGGUAACGGCUCACCAAGGCUGCGAUCAGUAGCCGGACUGAGAGGUUGAACGGCCACAUUGGGACUGAGAUACGGCCCAGACUCCUACGGGAGGCAGCAGUGGGGAAUAUUGCACAAUGGGCGAAAGCCUGAUGCAGCGACGCCGCGUGAGGGAAGACGGUUUUCGGAUUGUAAACCUCUGUCUUCGGGGACGAAAAUGACGGUACCCGAGGAGGAAGCCACGGCUAACUACGUG
rnacentral:rRNA from 1 species